rnacentral:tRNA from 1 species
AAUUAAUGAGCUUGAUAUAAGCGUAUGCUUUGAAAGCAUAAGAUAGUAGUAUAAUCUACUAUUAAUUU